AUAUACAAUAAUAAUUAUAUUGUGUAAAGUUUAAUCGAUUUAUUAUGUUUUAUGAAGAAAAAAAAAAGAAGAUAGAGACUAAUUAGAUUUAAUUUGCGACUAAGGAAAACUAUGAUAUCUUAUAAUUAUAUUAUGCAUGCUCUUUAUGAUUGUGUUUGUUUUAUAUAUGUGAUAUGUAUAUUUUAGAUAUAUAACAAUAACCUUACUAUUAACAUACAACUUAAAUUUGUCAUGAUUUGGUAUACAACAAUAUUUUUAUAUAUCUUAUUAAAUCAAUGGAUAAUAAAAUAUUUCAAAAAAUUCUUUUGUUGGAGGAAGAAUAUUUAUAUUGGAAAAGAAUGUUACAAAGUUCUGCUGUCAUCAAUUUGAUGUUGUUUUACCUAUCACAUAAUGAUCAACUGAGUUAAUGGCAGAGUUGACAAAUAAAAAGCAUUUCUUUGCAUUUGUUGCUUCAAAUGUGGUUUAAAGACACGUUUCAUGCUAUAUAACACUAACUUGCUACUCUAGACUUGUAGCAUUCAGACGUGAGGUAUCAAAUUUAAAUUCUAAUAUUAAUACUUUUAACGUGUCUAUUAUUAUUUAAUAAAAAGGUGAGAGACUUUUUAUUCUUUUAUUCUCUUUUAUUCUUGAUGUGCGUUAAAAUUGUACAACUAUUGAUGUGUGUUAAAAUUUUAGAAUCUUUCAUUUAGCAGGUAAGGUUAUCUUUUGUAGCGCAUUUGAUUUUUGUUUAAUACAUUGAUAUGUAGAGCUAAUAAAAAAACAUAAUUUUUAUUAGUAAUUUAGAAAUAAAGAACUAGCAACAAAUGUUUCUUACAGGGUUAUUAGUAAAAAAUAUAUAUAUAUUUUGUAUUAUGGUAUAUCAUUUAAAUUUAAUAAUUGUUUUAUUAUGUUUUAAUGUUUGUUUAUCUUUAAAUAAUCUACAACAAGUUGCUGGAAUUGAAAUGUACACACACAUGAAUUUAUAACAGAAUUGAAAGUUGAAACCUAUGUACGAUUAUCAAAGUUGUUAAAACCGUUAAUUAUAUCUUAUCAAAGUUAUCAAAACCGUUAAAAAAAUAAACAACUUUUCCAAAACCCUUCUCAAGAUAUUAUUUUGAAAAACACGGAUGUUUUGAUUUGUAAAAUUUUGUAAAAAUAUAACUACUUUAAUCUACAAAAUUUGAUAGAAAAAUCAAAUUUUCGGUUAUUA